UGGGCGCGCUACCCACAACCUCCCGCGCCAAAGCGCGCGAAAAUCGCGGGUUGUAGCACUACGUCUUUUUGAUGGUCUGCAUCCGCGUUUCUCCUGAAAAAAAGUCCGUCUUUCCUCCAGGGCUCCACGCUGCCCCUUCCAGAAACAUGCUAAGAAGAAGGAAUUUAGAGUCUAAAAAACCUGGACUUGGCCCUUGGCAGCUAGCGCUGAAGCUGACCUCAGGACUAUCUUAUUUUCCGAAAGAUCUGAACUGCAGAGGGUCAUUCUGCCCUUGAAAAGAAACCAAGAUAAAAGGAAACAGCUCUCAGGAAUUAUAAGCAAAACACAACCAGACACUCACUGCGGAUUGCCCCAUUUUCCACCUCUUUAGUAAGUGGUUUGGCUUUUAGUGCAUUGCAGAUAUAUGUGCUUGGGUAGCCCUUUUCUUUGCAACGGGAUUUGAUUCUCCUUAUUCUUUUCCUGUCUAUGCCUAGUAAGUCUUGAAAAUCCUUCACUUCUUCAUUCCACAGAUGUUUACUGAAUGCCUGCUAUGUGCAAGAUACUGAUUCUUCCUCUGCUGUGACUUUUGGAUAAUCCAGACUUGAAUUGAGGGGGCAUUGCUGGCUUGAAAAUGAUCCAAGAGCAGAAGAAACACUUCUCAAAAUCAUCCACCAAACAAACAAAAAUUGAGAAACAUAGAUUUUUUGUUUGUUUGUUUUUUCUCUUCAAGAAUGAACCAGGACUCUAACUUUGGAUUUUCAGUAAGUCAUAUAACCUGUCUACGUAAAGCCUUCCAUUUUCAUCUUUUGAUUCAUCUUAUCUGUAAGAUGAAUUAAUCACACCCUCCUAUGACUUCUCCUUUGGCCACUUAUCAUUCUCAGACUGUCCUGAAUUGAAUUAUUAGGAAGUACAGGCCUUGGAAAUGAAGCCAAGAUAAAAGGAAAAUACUCAAGUUCCCUACUUUCCCUUAGGAAAUAAAGCAGAUUAAAGUAGUGCUCUUCCGGGUUUU
rnacentral:lncRNA from 1 species